UUGUAUCAUAUUAAUUCAGCCAACAAAGCAUUUCUUUUCCAUGGAAAUACACCACAAAUAUUUCUGACAGCAAGCAGGCC
rnacentral:tRNA from 1 species